GAUGAACGCUGGCGGCGUGCCUAACACAUGCAAGUCGAACGGAGUCCAGCCUUUAAGACCUUCGGGUCAAAGAGGGGAAGACUGAGUGGCGGACGGGUGAGUAACACGUGGGCAACCUGGCUCAUAGAGGGGGAUAACAGAGAGAAAUUUCUGCUAAUACCGCAUAAGCACACACUGCCGCAUGGCAGAGGGUGAAAAGAGAAUCGCUAUGAGAUGGACCCGCGUCUGAUUAGCCAGUUGGCAGGGUAAGAGCCUACCAAAGCGACGAUCAGUAGCCGAUCGGAGAGGAUGAACGGGCAAAUUGGGAAUGAGACACGGCCCAAACUCCUACGGGAGGCAGCAGGGGGGGAUAUUGCAAAAUGGGGGGAACCCUGAUGCAGCGACGCCGCGUGAGUGAAGAAGUAUUUCGGUAUGUAAAGCUCUAUCAGCAGGGAAGAUAAUGACAGUACCUGAAGAAGAAGCCCCGGCUAACUACGUG
rnacentral:rRNA from 1 species